UACGUAGGGGGCAAGCGUUGUCCGGAUUUACUGGGCGUAAAGAGCGCGUAGGCGGACGUUUAAGUGUGGCCUGAAAGCCCCCGGCUCAACCGGGGAUCCGGGUUGCAAACUGGACGUCUUGAGGGGGAUAGGGGAAGGUGGAAUUCCUGGUGUAGCGGUGAAAUGCGCAGAUAUCAGGAGGAACACCGAUGGCGAAGGCAGCUCGCUGGGACGGUACUGACGCUGAGACGCGAAAGCGUGGGGAGCAAACAGG
rnacentral:rRNA from 1 species